UGGGGAAUAUUGCACAAUGGGCGCAAGCCUGAUGCAGCCAUGCCGCGUGUGUGAAGAAGGCCUUCGGGUUGUAAAGCACUUUCAGCGAGGAGGAAGGUGGUGAGCUUAAUACGCUCAUCAAUUGACGUUACUCGCAGAAGAAGCACCGGCUAACUCCGUGCCAGCAGCCGCGGUAAUACGGAGGGUGCAAGCGUUAAUCGGAAUUACUGGGCGUAAAGCGCACGCAGGCGGUUUGUUAAGUCAGAUGUGAAAUCCCCGGGCUCAACCUGGGAACUGCAUUUGAAACUGGCAAGCUAGAGUCUCGUAGAGGGGGGUAGAAUUCCAGGUGUAGCGGUGAAAUGCGUAGAGAUCUGGAGGAAUACCGGUGGCGAAGGCGGCCCCCCUGGACGAAGACUGACGCUCAGGUGCGAAAGCGUGGGGCAGCAAACAGGAUUAGAUACCCUGGUAGUCCACGCUGUAAAACGAUGUCGAUUUGGAGGUUGUGCCCUUGAGGCGUGGCUUCCGGAGCUAACGCGUUAAAUCGACCGCCUGGGGAGUACGGCCGCAAGNUUAAAACUUAAAGAAUUGACGGGGUCAUAGCUG
rnacentral:rRNA from 1 species